rnacentral:rRNA from 1 species
CUGCUAUCGGAUUGAUACUAAGCCAUGCGAGUCAUUGUAGCAAUACAAGGCAUACGGCUCAGUAACGCGUAGUCAACCUAACCUAUGGACGGGAAUAACCUCGGGAAACUGAGAAUAAUGCCCGAUAGAACAUUAUGCCUGGAAUGGUUUAUGUUCCAAAUGAUUUAUCGCCGUAGGAUGGGACUGCGGCCUAUCAGUUUGUUGGUGAGGUAAUGGCCCACCAAGACUAUUACAGGUACGGGCUCUGAGAGGAGUAGCCCGGAGAUGGGUACUGAGACACGGACCCAGGCCCUAUGGGGCGCAGCAGGCGAGAAAACUUUGCAAUGUGCGAAAGCACGACAAGGUUAAUCCGAGUGGUUUCUGCUAAAGGAACCUUUUGUCAGUCCUAGAAACACUGAUGAAUAAGGGUGGGCAAGUUCUGGUGUCAGCCGCCGCGGUAAAACCAGCACCUCAAGUGGUCAGGAUGAUUAUUGGGCCUAAAGCAUCCGUAGCCGGCUCUGUAAGUUUUCGGUUAAAUCUGUACGCUCAACGUACAGGCUGCCGGGAAUACUGCAAAGCUAGGGAGUGGGAGAGGUAGACGGUACUCGGUAGGAAGGGGUAAAAUCCUUUGAUCUAUUGAUGACCACCUGUGGCGAAGGCGGUCUACCAGAACACGUCCGACGGUGAGGGAUGAAAGCUGGGGGAGCAAACCGGAUUAGAUACCCGGGUAGUCCCAGCUGUAAACCAUGCAAACUCAGUGAUGCAUUGGCUUGUGGCCAAUGCAGUGCUGCAGGGAAGCCGUUAAGUUUGCCGCCUGGGAAGUACGUACGCAAGUAUGAAACUUAAAGGAAUUGGCGGGGGAGCACCACAAGGGGUGAAGCCUGCGG